rnacentral:rRNA from 1 species
GGCAACAAAACAUACCCGCUUGUCAAUGCCUGAUCUUGUCCGUUCUCUGAAGCUAAGAAGGGCUGGGCCUGGUUAGUGCCUGGAUGGUAAACCACAGGAAAAAAAACAGGCACAACUGUUGCUG